CGAACGCUGGUGGCGUGCCUAAUACAUGCAAGUCGAGCGGAACACUUGGAGCUUGCUCCAAGCGUUUAGCGGCGGACGGGUGAGUAACACGUGGGCAACCUGCCCUGCAGAUCGGGAUAACUCCGGGAAACCGGUGCUAAUACCGAAUAGUUUGCGGCCUCUCCUGAGGCUGCACGGAAAGACGGUUUCGGCUGUCACUGCAGGAUGGGCCCGCGGCGCAUUAGCUAGUAGGUGAGGUAACGGCUCACCUAGGCGACGAUACAUAGCCGACCUGAGAGGGUGAUCGGCCACACUGGGACUGAGACACGGCCCAGACUCCUACGGGAGGCAGCAGUAGGGAAUCUUCGGCAAUGGGGGCAACCCUGACCGAGCAACGCCGCGUGAGUGAAGAAGGUUUUCGGAUCGUAAAGCU
rnacentral:rRNA from 1 species